UUUUUAAAAUUCAUUCAGCUCGUCCUCCGCUCUGAUUUAACGGUACACACUAGCCUGCUCUCCACCUCCUACACUCAUUACUCUCACAUUUAUAAAACGCACCCUCACCCCUCUGAAAAUCGCACGCUUCUUCCUUCGUUCUUUCUUCUCCCUUCUCCUUCUUUGUUGUUCUUCCUUUGCUCUCUUCUAACCAAGAGAUGCAGAGAAACCGAGCAAGCGAGUGAGAGACCGUGAGAUUGAGAGAAAUAAGAGGGAGAGAUCGUGACAGAGAGGAGACCGAGAGAGAGACAUCGAGGGAUUGAGGGAGGAAAGAAACAGAGAGAGGGAGACUCGAGAUACAGAGAGAGAGAGAGAGAGAGAGAGAGAGAGAUCGUGACAGAGAGGAGACUGGGAGAGAGAGUGGUGUAGUCGGAGAGAGAGAGAACCCGGCGGACCCGUGAGGAGCCGAGAAGGAUCAAGAGACCCACAUCCAUGGGUCAACGCCGGUGACCCGAUCGGGGGUCUGAAACUCCAUGGGUCGUCGCUAGUGAAACCAGAAGGUACAAUCUCCGGCGGUUUCAAAGCAUCGUCCGGCAAUGCUUGUGAAAAUCAGUGCUAUCACCGAUUUGGUGAUUGCUCUAUAGAUUUCCUAUAGUUAAGCAGAAAAUUCAUAAGAUGAUGAACUGAGAGGCUGUACAAAAAGAUUCUCAUUAUGCAGGUACAAAAGAGUAUAAAGCUCAAGGAUUGGAUUUUGUUAGCACUGAAGAGUUAGAACUGUUUAUUUAUGUAGCUAAUGAUUGUAGUGAUUUCUUUGUAUCAAUUUGGAAUGUAAUAUUUUAAUUACAUUUGUCAUUCAGUAAACUCUGAUGUAGCUUUUUAAAGAAAAUAAAUAUAUUCCGCUGCGUAAGUUAUCUCUGA